rnacentral:RNase_P_RNA from 1 species
GCACUGCUCCGGCCUGUCGCUGGUACCCAGAGUACGAGAGGAAAGUCCGGGCAGUAUAGGGCGCCCCACUUCUGAAAAUGGAAGCUAUUGGUGACAGUAGGUGCCGGCAGAAGAAAAUAACCGCCCCUGGAGUGGGCAAGGGUGAGAAGGUGGUGUAAGAGACCACCAGCUGAUGGGUGAUCAUCAGGCUGUGCCGACUGGGGACUGCAAGUUCAUGUAUACCGUCGUCUGAGGGUUGCCCGCCCGAGUAAACGAUGGAGGGUAGAACGCUGGAGCCAUGGGGUGACUCAUGGAGUAGAUAAAUGACAGGCUCCCCUUCUGGGGAACAGAACCCGGCUUACAGGAGCAGUGCUUUU